AGGAUGAACGCUAGCGGGAGGCUUAAUACAUGCAAGUCGUGCGGCAAGGUUUCUUCGGGAACCCUAGAGCGGCGUACGGGUGAGUAACACGUAUGUAAUCUGCCCCUAUCUGGGAAAUAGCCCUCCGAAAGGGGGAUUAAUGUCCCAUAACACUGCGGAACGGCAUCGUUCUGCAUUUAAAGCUCCGGCGGAUAGGGAUGAACAUGCGUCCCAUUAGCUAGUUGGUGGGGUAACGGCCCACCAAGGCUACGAUGGGUAGCUGGUCUGAGAGGAUGAUCAGCCACACGGGCACUGAGACACGGGCCCGACUCCUACGGGAGGCAGCAGUAGGGAAUAUUGGGCAAUGGACGCAAGUCUGACCCAGCCAUCCCGCGUGAAGGAUGAAGGAUCUAUGGUUCGUAAACUUCUUUAUUGGGAAGAAAAGCCUGAUUUAUCAGGAACUGACGGUACCCAAUGAAUAAGCACCGGCUAACUCCGCGCCAGCAGCCGC
rnacentral:rRNA from 1 species